rnacentral:SRP_RNA from 2 species
GCUGGGUGUGGUGGCGUACACCUGUAGUCCCAGCUACUUGGGAGGCUGAGGCAGGAGAAUCGCUUCAACCCAGGAGGCAGAGGCUGCAGUGAGCCAAGAUCGUGCCACUGCACUCCAGCCUGGGUGACAGAGUGACACUCUGUCUCAA